rnacentral:lncRNA from 1 species
AGAGAGAAUCAUUGAUGUACACUCGGGGUUUAUUUGAUUCAUCUAUUUUAGACUAUGGAAUCAGAAUGAAAUUCACUGAUUCUGAUAGUUGCUUAUUUUAUAUAAAUUGAAUUUCGAUUCUCAUUCAAUUCUGGAAUGAAAAUAACCCAAUUCUUUUAUGGCCCUCGGCUUUAAACUUGGAUUGACUUAUUGCAGAGAAAAUUACUUGAAAUUUUUUCUCGCAAACACCUCCAAUAAUCAAAACUCCUU